rnacentral:rRNA from 1 species
GGUUGAUCCUGCCAGUAGUCAUAUGCUUGUUUUGAAGAUUAAGCCAUGCAUGUCUCAGUAUAAAUAGAAUACAGUGAAACUGCGAACAGCUCAUUAAAACACUUAUAAAAAAUUCGGAAGUAUGUUAUAUAUGGAUAUCCAUGGUAAUUCUAAGGUUAAUACAAGUUGCAUCAUUUCGGUGAUGACUGCUGCUUUUAGAAUUUGACAACCUGAGCUUUGCUCCUCUGUAUGAUUUUACUGGUUUGCUUAUCGACGUGUGCGAUAAGCCGAAUUUGUUUGUGACCUAUCAG